rnacentral:tRNA from 1 species
GGUUGUGGCUCAGUGGUAGAGCACUUGCCUAGCACACAUGGGACAUUGGGUUCAAUCCUCGGCACCA